AGUCAAGUAAUUAAGUGCAUGUGGUGGAUGCCUUGGCAGUCAGAGGCGAUGAAAGACGUGAUAGCCUGCGAAAAGCUCCGGGGAGGCGGCAAAUAUCCUUUGAUCCGGAGAUGUCUGAAUGGGGGAACCCACCUACUUUAAGGUAGGUAUUGCAACAUGAAUACAUAGUGUUGCAAGGCGAACGAGGGGAAGUGAAACAUCUCAGUACCCUUAGGAAAAGAAAUCAAUUGAGAUUCCCUCAGUAGCGGCGAGCGAACGGGGAUCAGCCCAUUAAGUUAUGUGUGUUUUAGUGGAACGCUCUGGGAAGUGCGAACGUAGAGGGUGAUAUUCCCGUACACGAAAGGGCACACAUAAUGAUGACGAGUAGGGCGAGGCACGUGAAACCUUGUCUGAAUAUGGGGGGACCAUCCUCCAAGGCUAAAUACUCCUGACUGACCGAUAGUGAACCAGUACCGUGAGGGAAAGGCGAAAAGAACCCCUGUGAGGGGAGUGAAAUAGAUCCUGAAACCGCAUGCAUACAAGCAGUGGGAGCACCUUCGUGGUGUGACUGCGUACCUUUUGUAUAAUGGGUCAGCGACUUAUAUUCAGUAGCGAGGUUAACCGUAUAGGGGAGCCGUAGAGAAAUCGAGUCUUAAUAGGGCGUUUAGUUGCUGGGUAUAGACCCGAAACCAGGCGAUCUAUCCAUGAGCAGGUUGAAGGUUGGGUAACACUAACUGGAGGACCGAACCCACUGUCGUUGAAAAGCCAGGGGAUGACUUGUGGAUAGGGGUGAAAGGCUAAUCAAGCCUGGUGAUAGCUGGUUCUCCCCGAAAGCUAUUUAGGUAGCGCCUCGGACGAAUACCAUAGGGGGUAGAGCACUGUUUCGGCUAGGGGGUCAUCCCGACUUACCAAACCGAUGCAAACUCCGAAUACCUAUGAGUACUAUCCGGGAGACAGACUGCGGGUGCUAACGUCCGUAGUCAAGAGGAAAACAAUCCAGACCGCCAGCUAAGGCCCCAAAAUCAUAGUUAAGUGGGAAACGAUGUGGGAAGGCAUAGACAGCUAGGAGGUUGGCUUAGAAGCAGCCACCCUUUAAAGAAAGCGUAAUAGCUCACUAGUCGAGUCGGCCUGCGCGGAAGAUGUAACGGGGCUAAAACUAUGUGCCGAAGCUGCGGAUGUAUACUUUGUAUACGUGGUAGGGGAGCGUUCUGUAAGCCGAUGAAGGUGUGUUGAGAAGCAUGCUGGAGGUAUCAGAAGUGCGAAUGCUGACGUGAGUAACGACAAAACGGGUGAAAAACCCGUUCGCCGAAAGACCAAGGGUUCCAGUCCAACGUUAAUCGGG
rnacentral:rRNA from 1 species